rnacentral:rRNA from 1 species
AGGGAAUCUUCCGCAAUGGACGAAAGUCUGACGGAGCAACGCCGCGUGAGUGAUGAAGGUUUUCGGAUCGUAAAACUCUGUUGUUAGGGAAGAACAAGUUGGGUAGUAACUGACCCAACCUUGACGGUACCUAACCAGAAAGCCACGGCUAACUACGUGCCAGCAGCCGCGGUAAUACGUAGGUGGCAAGCGUUGUCCGGAAUUAUUGGGCGUAAAGCGCUCGCAGGCGGUCUUUUAAGUCUGAUGUGAAAGCCCACGGCUUAACCGUGGAGGGUCAUUGGAAACUGGAGGACUUGAGUACAGAAGAGGAGAGUGGAAUUCCACGUGUAGCGGUGAAAUGCGUAGAGAUGUGGAGGAACACCAGUGGCGAAGGCGACUCUCUGGUCUGUAACUGACGCUGAGGAGCGAAAGCGUGGGUAGCGAAC